rnacentral:rRNA from 1 species
CCGCCUGUUUUUCAAAAACAUAGUUUUAUGAUAGAUAAAUAUAUAAAAUGAAACCUGCCCAGUGUAAUUAUAAAUAAAUGGCCGCAGUACCUUGACUGUGCUAAGGUAGCAUAAUCAAUUGGCUUUUAAUUAAAGUCUGGAAUGAAUGGGAAAGUGGAAAAUAACUGUCUUAAUAGUGUUAUAUAUAAUUUAUUUAAAAGGUGAAAAUACCUUUUCUUAUAAUAAAGACGAGAAGACCCUAUGAGUUUUUAAUAAUACUACUAGUGUGUAUGUUAGUUUUUUGUUGGGGCGACAAAUUAACAAAUUUAACUUAAUGUUACAAUAUUAACCGUUAUUUUUAAAAAAAUUUAAAUUACCUUAGGGAUAACAGCAUAAUUUAUUAUUAAGUUUGUGACCUCGAUGUUGGACUAGGAACUAUAUGGCUAACCGUUAAAAUAGAUUUGUUCUGUUCGAACAAUUUGAUCCUACGUGAUCUGAGUUCAGACCGGA